rnacentral:rRNA from 1 species
AUGGCCGCCUCCGCCGUCUCCCGCCUCAACCCCAUAGCCUCGCCUUACCUUCCGAUGACACUCGCUCCCACGUGGUGCUACCCCUCUCCUUUCUCCUACCUGCCGCCUCCGGCCCCACUCCCGCCGGCGCACGGGUGGCCUUUUGCCUACGGCGGCGACUGGUGCCACACAGUGGGGAUGCCCUCGUUCCCGCUGCAGACAGCAUACGGGCACCCCGCUCCAUUGAUGGUUUAUUGCUGCACGGCGCCGCCACCGCCACCGCAAUCGGCGACCCGUUGUCGAAUCACGGAGAUCAUCGAGGACGGAGGCGAGGUAGCCUCGAAGGAAGAGGUCAGGGACGAGCCUUCCCCGCGCUCCGUCCUCACUCCUUGGAGCAGGGAUCCGCCCACUUCGCCCCUGCCACCGCGAGCGCCGCUUCUGCGCCCCCCGCCGCGUACGUCUUCCGCGGGCAAACCUCGCCGCCGCCAGUGGCCACGCCUCGCCUUCAACCCCAAAGAGAAUAACACGUCCCUGAUGAUUCGCAAUAUUCCCAAUAAAUUUAUGAAGAGGAGAUUCAUGGCUAUCCUCGACCAGCACUGCGCCGAGGAGAACGCCAAGCUCGGCGGCGACGGCGAAGGGGUCAGGUCCGAGUACGACUUCCUCUACGUCCCCGUCGACUUCGGGACGAGGUUCAACAAGGGCUACGCCUUCGUGAACAUGACGACGGCGGCGGCGGCGCGGCGGCUCCACGCGCACCUCAACGGCCACCGCUGGGAGGCCGCGGGCUCCAAGAAGGUGUGCGACGUCGUGCACGCGCGCCUGGAGGGGCUGGACGGGCUCGUGGCGCACUUCUCCGCGUCGUGGUUCCCCUGCGGCGGCCGCAAGGAUUUCCUGCCGGUGCGCUUCGAGCCGCCGCGCGACGGCGUGCGUUGGACGGCGGAGCACGUGGUCGGCCACCUCCAGCCUCGCCGCUCCUGCUGA